AACGAACGCUGGCGGCAUGCCUAACACAUGCAAGUCGAACGAAGCCUUCGGGCUCAGUGGCGCACGGGUGCGUAACGCGUGGGAACCUGCCUUUCGGUUCGGAAUAACAGUUAGAAAUGACUGCUAAUACCGGAUGAUGUCUUCGGACCAAGAUUUAUCGCCGAAAGAUGGGCCCGCGUAGGAUUAGCUAGUUGGUGGGGUAAAGGCUCACCAAGGCGACGAUCCUUAGCUGGUCUGAGAGGAUGAUCAGCCACACUGGGACUGAGACACGGCCCAGACUCCUACGGGAGGCAGCAGUGGGGAAUAUUGGACAAUGGGCGAAAGCCUGAUCCAGCAAUGCCGCGUGAGUGAUGAAGGCCUUAGGGUUGUAAAGCUCUUUUACCAGGGAUGAUAAUGACAGUACCUGGAGAAUAAGCUCCGGCUAACUCCGUGCCAGCCGCCGCAGUAAAAC
rnacentral:rRNA from 1 species